GUGGCCGUAUGUUAGAGUUCGUGCUCGAGUAGUCCCAGCUGUCAGAUUCAUGCUAGGCACCCAACCGAACUAGAGAGGAUUUAGAUCCCUCACUAUAAAAGGGUUAUCCUUCUCAGGCAAGAGUUAGAAAGAAAUUCAUCAUUCUCCAUCUCUAUAAUUUUAGUUUUCUCAUCAAGAGCUAUGUCCUAUGUUUCUCUAAAUGCAGAUUAACUCCAGAAUGUUUGAUCGCAAUAUCAACCCAAAUUCUAUAUGGUAAAUAUUUUUUUUAGCUCUGCACAUAGAUAUCCAUUCACCUAUAGUUUUCACAUUUGAUUUCUUUUACUAAGUUUAGUUUGUUUUGAUUCAAUCAAAACUGGUGAAGGGAGUAGUACAAUAUAAGUCAUCAAUUUUAAGUCCAAAAACUAUAUCACUUUUUUUCUUUUUAUGCACUGAAGAAGACCCAUUGGAAACAAUAAAUCCUCCUCAAGGAGAAUUUGCACAUUCCGUCUAGUGCCCUAAAUGCAUAAAAGAAAUUCAAGAAAUGGUGGCAUCUACUGUAAGGAGAGUUUUGAACAAAGUACUGCAUUGGAUUGGCAUCCUAUUUGCCAUUGGAUAUUAUCAUUUUUGGGUCAAAGGCGAGAGAUGAGAUUCACUACAUCAAAUGGUGAACACCAGGGAUACAUGAUGCUAAUGCAAUUUCCAUCCACUCCCUUUGUUGCAAGGUUGUGGUGGCAGCUCUCUGCCAAUCCCCCAACAGGAGCUGAAGACAAAGAAGUCAAAGACAGAUGCCACAUCUGCCGGUAAGACCAGGACUGCCAUAUCAAUUUCUAAUGCAGAGGUGGAGGAGCGCUAUGGUGGCCCAGAAAACCGAACUGUGAAAGAUGAUUUCUGGAGGGCUACUACUUCAACUGAGAAGAUGGUUCAAGAAAGAGUUGGUUUUUUUCUGUCCAUACAAAAUCAGAUGAUCAAAACCAACUAGAUUAUGAAUGAGUACAGCAUAAGCCGGGCUAUAUUUUUGGAGGAUGAGCGCAAAGCAGCACCACCACUAGUUCUCGACUAAGUCAAGACAAAAGCAAAUACACUAAAUCCUCAACAUCGCACACCAGCAUACAGUAUGGAAGCCAUUCUCACGAACGGGAGAGGAGAUGGCUCAAAGUUGGUCUCUCGAUCACAACUGUAGUGACAGGUUUCUUUCUCCAACCAUUUAAAACUCAUCUCCUAUUCCGAUCAUUGUAAAAUAAAAUGCAGCAUAAAAGUACGAGCAAUCAAUUGGUGGUGCUGUUGCCACCAUUUCUUUUUUAUCAUUGGCUCCUUGUCAAGCUUGAAUACGGCCCCAUUGUUCACUGAACUUACCAAAAUGGGGAGCAUUGUAUUUUCCGAAUGAGCUCCAAUUAUUAAUUAAAAGAGAUUCCGUUUUGGUAA